GCAAAGCCCAUACUUCUUAAUAAUCGAAAUCAUUGUUAACCUAACAGUAUGCUAUCAGAAAACUAUUCUGUUUCAGUCCAAUAACAAACAUGCUCACUACAAACCCUAGCAUUUGGUGUAAGCCUAAGUGGGUAUGGAUUCAUGUGUGGACUUGUUCCCUCAUUGUAGCACCAGCGUAAUGCUAAGUUGACCUGGAUUCAUUUGUAGGCCUGUGCUGUACCCAUAGGUCUUUGUAUAGGAGGAGAAGAAAACCCCUGGCCUUAAUAUGUUUGUAAGGAGUGCUUCGUUGACUUUCCAAUACCUACUGAGCUCACCUAUGAUGUUAGUAGGUCAACCCAUAAAUUUUCCAGGUGUGCACUUUGCGGUGUGUGCAGGUGCUAGGUAGCAACUAGUUGUCUAUUGUACUUGUUAUCUCUUUUGUCAUGUGACUGGCAAUUGAAACCAACAUAUAAAAGGUUUGCUUUGAUUGCGUGCCGUGGACAGGCCCAGUGCCUCCCUCCUGGAGCUGGUUGUACACAAAGGUGCCUGACCACGUCGUGAUGAAAUCACAGAGUGAUGCCUCUUUCUUCCGCGGCAUUACCACUUGUUGGACUUGGAUUCAUUUCCGAUUCUGUUCCCUCACCCUACCACUUGGCAUCAGUCUAAGUGGUCCCGGAUUAGUUUGUGCACCUGUUCCCUCACCCUAGCACUCGGCGUAACCUAUGCUGGGCCCGGAUUCAUUUCUGACUCCGAUCCCUAAUCCUAGCAGUCGGACUCACCCUAACUAAGUGGGUUGGCAUUUGUUUCAAAAUCUGUUUCCUAACGCUAACCCUUGCCCUAGCCAUCACGGGACUUUGAUUCAUUUGUGCAUCCGUUCUGUCCCAGUAGCACUCGGCCUAACCGUCCCUGGCCCUGGAUUCCUUCCGGAAUCUAUUCCCUAACCCUACCAGUCGGACUAACCCUAACUGUCCCUGGAUUCUUUUUUGAAUCCGUUCUCCAAUCCUAGCACUUGGCGUAACCCUAAGUGGAGUUUGAUUCCUUUUUGAAUAUGUUUCCUAAUCCUAGCAACUGCUGUACCCCUAACGGGACCCAGAUUUGUUUGUGGACCCGUUUUGUCCCCACUACCACUCGGCGUAACCCUCACUGGGGCUGGAUUCAUUUCUGAAUGUGUUCCAUAACUGUAGCGCUUGGCGUAACCUUAACGGGGCCUGGAUUGAGCUUGGAGUGCAUUCCCUAAGCUUGGCACUCCAAAUCACAAUAAGUGGACUCAGAUUCGUUUUGGAAUCCGUUCCCUAACCCUAGCACUUUGCCUAACCGUAACCGACCCCAGAUUUGUUGUUGAAUCUGUUCGCUAACCGUACCAGUUGUCGUAACCCUAACUCGAUCUGGAUGUGUUUCUGAAUACCUUCCCUAACUGUACCACUUGCUGUAACUAUAACUGGGCCUGGAUUUGUUGGCGGUUAUGUUCCCUAACCCUAGCACUUGGUGUAACCGUCGCUGGGGCGGGAUUCUCUUCUGAAUAUGUUUGCUAAGCAUAGCCCUUGUAGUAAGCCUUGCUGGACUGGGAUUAAUUUCAGAUUAUGUUUCCUAACCCUAGUCCUUGGCCUAACAGUUAAUGGACUCAGCUUCACUUGUGGACCCGUUCUGUCUCUGUAGCAUUUGGCCUAACCUUAACUGGUGCUGGAUUCAUUUGUGGACCUGUUCCCUAACUGUAGCACUUGGUGCAAGCCUAACAAACCCUGUAUUUGUUUAUGAGUCCGUUCCCUAACCCUAGCAGUCAGUGUAAGGCUAACUAGCCCCUGAUUCUUUUCUGCAUCUGUGUUGUACCCGUCGGAUUUAGUGUAACCUUAAGCGUACUUGGAUUCAUUUAUCAAUCUGUUCCCUAACCCUGGCCCUUGGCCUUUCCUUGGAUUCUGAAAUCUCUACCGGGGUUAUUGGUGGAGGAUUGUCUGUGUGCGGCUCAGGAAACCAGCUCAAGCUCAUGUGUCCCGAACGUCUGAAAUAAUCCGUAGGCUGCUUGCCUUGUUUGUAUGUAUGAAAAUGGUUUAAAAUUACAGGGGUAACAAGACAGUCUAAAGUAAAUCAUAUAGAAAGCUGGGGAAUAGUGUGGGUGUUUUGUCUGGUAUUGCUGACCAAGGCUGGGACUGAAUAUUUUUGAGCGUUGUGUUUUAGUGCCAACGUUCCUGUUUGUGAAAGAAUAAUGAGUCGCUGACCUGGUCUGAGAUGAAGGUUGGAUCUAGCCGCGCCACGGCUGUCUAGAAAGGCAGAGUUGGAAGCAAGGGGGCCCAGCUGGAACCUUGUGACCCAGUGGACAGCUUGAUCCUCUCCGCAUCCAUGGUAAUUGUGCAGGUGCGAGAAGAUUUACGUUCACCACCAGAUGUUUCCUGUCAGAAUCUCAUACCAGGUGAUUGGAUUUAUGUAAAGGUCCAUCAUUGGAAAAAUGUGCUUCAACUGACAUGGAAUGGACUGUUGCAGGUGCUCUGGACCAGUAACACUGCCGUUUGUUGCCAAGGUCUCUAGACAUGGACCUGCACUGGAAAAAGGUAUCACCUCUAUUGGACCCUGAAACAGUUGCAUUGCUACCUGGGCUAAGACCUUUCCCUGAGGCCAAGGACAAAGAGCAUCAAGAUCUUAGUAUGGAAAAUGAGGAGUAUCAGGGUGCAAGUGCUAGUAACCUCUCCCCUGAACCGAGCACUGCAGCCUGGCCAGAUUUACCAGUUGGCGAUCGAAGAUAUUAUCUCUGAGCCCAACGAAUAAUCUCCAGACUUUAUACGUGUAUAUCCCAGAUGGUUGUAGCGCUAUUGAGCAUGUGGCUGAAAGUAUAGAGAAAGAAGUUGCUAAAGUUUAUGAAACUGAUGAAUGGAGUGUGUGCACCUGUUUUGUCACAUUUGGGGCCAAAGGAUUUUGUAGUGCAAUCAUGGUCCUGGAGUUUAUUGUCUUUCUACAACUGUUCCUCUUUAUUGCUAUGCAUUUGGUACCUUAGUAGAUCCCAACAAAGGUGCAAAAAUUCUGUCUAAUGUGAUACUGGGUCAAUUGCAAGUAGUCUGUCAAUUGUUCUCAAGGGAGCGUUGACAGAUACUGUAGCUAAGAACAAGUGUGACUGUGCCUCGCAGGAUGCAUAAAUCAUAAUGUUCUGA